rnacentral:rRNA from 1 species
GAUGAACGCUGGCGGCGUGCCUAAUACAUGCAAGUCGAGCGAACAGACGAGGAGCUUGCUCCUCUGACGUUAGCGGCGGACGGGUGAGUAACACGUGGAUAACCUACCUAUAAGACUGGGAUAACUUCGGGAGACCGGAGCUAAUACCGGAUAAUAUAUUGAACCGCAUGGUUCAAUAGUGAAAGACGGUUUUGCUGUCACUUAUAGAUGGAUCCGCGCCGCAUUAGCUAGUUGGUAAGGUAACGGCUUACCAAGGCAACGAUGCGUAGCCGACCUGAGAGGGUGCUCGGCCACACUGGAACUGAGACACGGUCCAGACUCCUACGGGAGGCAGCAGUAGGGAAUCUUCCGCAAUGGGCGAAAGCCUGACGGAGCAACGCCGCGUGAGUGAUGAAGGUCUUCGGAUCGUAAAACUCUGUUAUUAGGGAAGAACAAAUGUGUAAGUAACUAUGCACGUCUUGACGGUACCUAAUCAGAAAGCCACGGCUAACUACGU